rnacentral:rRNA from 1 species
UACAGAGGGGGCAAGCGUUGUUCGGAAUUACUGGGCGUAAAGGGCGCGUAGGCGGCCUUCUAAGUCGAACGUGAAAUCCCCGGGCUCAACCCGGGAACUGCGUCCGAUACUGGAAGGCUUGAAUCCGGGAGAGGGAUGCGGAAUUCCAGGUGUAGCGGUGAAAUUCGUAGAUAUCGGGAGGAACACCGGUGGCGAAGGCGGCGACCUGGUUCGAUACUGACACUGAGGUGCGAAAGCGUGGGGAGCAAACAGG